GAUGAAGAACGUAGUGAAAUGCGAAAAGUAAUGUGAAUUGCAGAAUUCAGUGAACCAUCGAAUCUUUGAACGCACAUUGCGCCCGCUGGAACUCCGGCGGGCACGCCUGUCCGAGCGUCAUUUCAACCCUCAGGCCCCCCUUCGCGGGCGGGCCUGGUGUUGGGGCCCGGCCGCUACCCUGCGGCCGUCCCCUAAAUUCAGUGGCGGCCUCGCCGUGAUCCCUUGCGUAGUAAUGCACCUCGCACCGGAGAGCGCCGUGGCCACGCCGUAAAACCCCCAAUUUUCAAUGGUUGACCUCGGAUCAGGUGGGAAUACCCGCUGAACUUAAGCAUAUCAAUAGCGGAGGA
rnacentral:misc_RNA from 1 species